rnacentral:rRNA from 1 species
GUGGGGAAUCUUGCGCAAUGGGCGAAAGCCUGACGCAGCGACGCCGCGUGGGUGACGAAGGCCUUCGGGUCGUAAAGCCCUGUGGGGAGGGACGAACAAGCAGCAAUGCCCUGACGGUACCUCCUUAGCAAGCACCGGCCAACUCCGUGCCAGCAGCCGCGGUAAGACGGAGGGUGCAAACGUUGUUCGGAAUUACUGGGCGUAAAGCGCGUGUAGGCGGCGCGACAAGUCGGGCGUGAAAUCCCUUGGCUCAACCGAGUGAAUGGCGUUCGAAACUGUCGUGCUGGAGUUCGGGAGAGGGACGUGGAAUUCCCGGUGUAGAGGUGAAAUUCGUAGAUAUCGGGAGGAACACCGGUGGCGAAGGCGGCGUCCUGGACCGAUACUGACGCUGAGACGCGAAAGCGUGGGGAGCAAACAGGAUUAGAAACCCCAGUAGUCC